rnacentral:rRNA from 1 species
ACGUAGGUGGCAAGCGUUGUCCGGAUUUACUGGGUGUAAAGGGCGUGUAGACGGUUAGAUAAGUCAGUGGUGAAAUACCCGGGCUCAACCCGGGAACUGCCAUUGAAACUGUAUAACUUGAGUGCAGGAGAGGAAAGCGGAAUUCCUAGUGUAGCGGUGAAAUGCGUAGAUAUUAGGAGGAACACCAGUGGCGAAGGCGGCUUUCUGGACUGUAACUGACGUUGAGGCGCGAAAGCGUGGGGAGCAAACAG